UUUCUAACAGUAUUGUACUGUAUUUUCAAAAAACAGUGUUAGACUGUAUAUUUACAAAAUAUUUACAGAAUGUCUGUAAAUGUACAGAAUUGUCCUGUUUUCAGCAUGCAAAAUUCGUAAUACAGAAUAAUACUGUAAAAGCAUUGCAUUGUGGGAUUGAUUUCCUUCGCGCUCAAUAUUUGAAUGUAAGCAGAGCUAGUGCUUCGGAAGUUCGGACGCCCUUUAGUUGUUAGGAUUGGUUAUUCAUAUAAACAACGACGAUAUGAAGACAACGCGUUCAACUUUUAAUCUAUAGCUGCCUGUGAUGUGAAAACGUACACGGAACAUUUAAAAGUUACACGACGACGCGGCAGACAUGAGAGGAUUAUGCAUGCAACAAGAAGACGGAGAGAAUACAAUGUGUCUGUGAUGACGAUAAACGAAGAUUGACUGAAUGUGCAUCAUUGACACGGUCCGUCUCUAAGCAACCAGCGCUGGAUGUUGAGCAUGGACGGUCAGGUGGUGUGUGAAGGAGAGCAGCGCAACUUUGUCUCUGGUCUUGCAACGCUGAUUGCCUCAUUCUACAAUUUUAACCUCCAGGAUCUGGAAGCGGUGGCAUGCACCCUUGGGUUUGUUCAGAGAUGAUUUCUCUACAUCAACCUGGAACAUGGAUCAAAGAUGAAGAAAGGGAAAAAGAACACUACAGUGAAUCCACAGGUUUCCACUCUUCUUAGAAAACUUACGGACUUUAAAUGGAAUUUUGUUUAGACACUUCCACUAUCCAGUGUAGUUGAAUUAAAAGGAAUUAAAGUUUCCUACAUUGUUAAUGAUGUGCUGUUAAUUGAAAUACAAACGUACAGCUGGCAUUUCAUCCAAUAUGCUUAUGUUAAAGAAUUAAUCCACUUUUAAAAUGAUGCAAAAAAAAGAAAGUCAGGAGGGAAAAUACAGUAAAGGAUUAGUCCACUUUCUUAAAGGAGUAGUCCACUUUAAAGAUGGGGUCCAUUGACUUUUCAUAGUAGGAAAAAAGUAAAUCUUUAAAGUGGACUACUCCUUUAAUAAAAAAUCCUGAUAAUUUACUUACCCCUAAGUCAUCCAAAACGUUUAUGUGUUUCUUUGUUAAGUCAAGAAGAAAUUAAUUUUUUUUGUUUUUUUGAGUAACACAUUCCAGAAUGUUUCUCCAUAUAGUGGACUUUAAUGGACCUCAACAGUUUACAGUGUAAAUGCAGUUUAAAAGGUUGCAUACAGCUUCAAAGGGCUCUAAACUAGGGCUGCAUGAUAAAUCGCAUGUGAUUGUCAUUGCGCAUCUUGUAAGUAAAGCAGCAUGUACUACACAAAGCCAUAGAUCACUGACAAUCAGGGCAAAAUUUGCAUUAAUAAUAUGUAUGCGAUAUGGCCCUGCUUGUCAGUGAACUACGUCUCUGUCUAGUAAAAGCUGCUCCAUCUGAAAGCAGGUGAUGAGAUGCGCAUGACUAUCGCAUGUGAUUUAUCGUGCAGCCCUACUCUUAACUAUCCAAACUGAUGCAUAAGGGUCUUAACCAGCAAAAAUCAUAACUUUCGGCAAGGAAAAAAAAAUAUGCACUUUUAAUCCACAACUUCUCAUCUUGCACUAGCCGUGUGAUGCGCCAACUUGACGUCAUGUAAUGCAUAGGCAUGUCGAAAGGUCACGCAUCACAAAUGUGAAACACACACUUGCAGACCAUUUUAAACAACAAACUGACAUAAAGACAUUAAUUGUUAUCAUUCCACAUACAACAACGUCUGAACGUUCCUCUUUCUCCACGCUUGUAAACACUGGGGCGGUAGUUUUGCAUGCAUCACGUGUGACCUUUCAACAUGCUUAAGCAUUACGCCAGAUUGCGCUGGUGGGACACAAGGCUAGUGCAAGAUGAGAAGUUAUGGAUUUAUAGUACUUAUUUUUUAUUUUUCUCAAUAAAAAUUAUGAUGGUUUGCUAGAUAAGAUCCUUAUGCCUUGGUUGGGAUCGUUUAGAGCCCUUUAAAGCUGCAUCAAAAUAGCAAAUUUUAAACUGCAUUUAAUCUGUAAACUAUUGAGGUCCAAUAAAGUCUUUAAAAUUGAGAAAAAUUUUCCCUAAAAAACUUAAUUUCUUAUUGACUUAACAAAAAAAGACAUCAACAUUUUGGAUGACAUGUGGGUGAGUAAAUUAUCCAGAUUUUUUAUUAAGAAAGUAGAGUAAUCCUUUAAUGUAUUUUCCCUCCUGACUUUCUUUUUUAACAUCAUUUAAAAUAUUUUGAAACAUUUCCAUUCUUUGAAAGUUAAUAAGAUCACUUGAUUGUUAAUGUUCUGAUAAUUCAUAACUGUUCUGUCAACUGUUUAUUAAUUGUAAUGCAUACAGCUGACAUUUCAGCAAACAAUGUUUAUGUAAAUUUUAUGGCCUUUGCUUUUAAAAAAUAAAGUUUUAUAUUCUAAGAAUUUUGUAUUUGUGUAUUAUGUAUUUAAUUUCCAUUUGAGACUAUUGUUACUGUUACACAUAUAAUAUAAAUUCCUAAUUUAAAAGUGGCAUAUCAGUAAAAUACAGAAUGGGUUAUAGUUCUGUAAAAAUACAGUAAUUUGCUGGCAAUAUAGCUGCCUGUAUGUAAAUUUACAGUGUAAAGUUGUACAGUGUAUACUGUAAAAAUAAAUAAAUUACAGCGUUAUACUGUAUCUGACAAUUACAGUGCAAGACUGUAAAUGUUGUUUACAGUAGUGGUUCUGUAA